rnacentral:rRNA from 1 species
CAGCAGCCGCGGUAAUACGGAGGGAGCUAGCGUUGUUCGGAAUUACUGGGCGUAAAGCGCGCGUAGGCGGUUACUCAAGUCAGAGGUGAAAGCCCGGGGCUCAACCCCGGAACUGCCUUUGAAACUAGGUGACUAGAAUCUUGGAGAGGUCAGUGGAAUUCCGAGUGUAGAGGUGAAAUUCGUAGAUAUUCGGAAGAACACCAGUGGCGAAGGCGACUGACUGGACAAGUAUUGACGCUGAGGUGCGAAAGCGUGGGGAGCAAACAGGAUUAGAUACCCCAGUAGUCCCUGUCUCUUAUAU